ACCCAAUAAUCUCCCAGCCCAACACAUAAAAAAGCCCAGUUAAAUAAUCAAUAAGAUCUGCCUCUUCCUUUCAUGUCUAUAUGCAUUUUUCGCCCGCCACUUAUUACACCUUUGUCACAACUCCUCCCAUAAGGUCUUCUAUAAUUAGAUCAUGUUAUCGCUUCCCUUUAGAUAAAACAUAAAUCAUGCCUAGACGAAUUAGCAAUACCUCUUCACAAAACCCGUCCUCUACCAUUAGUUGCAAAGCCUCGAUGGUGAGCUAAUAACCCUUCUACUCUCCAUGAAAUUUCUUAUAACAAAUUUUCAUAAUCUUC
rnacentral:lncRNA from 1 species